rnacentral:rRNA from 1 species
GAUGAACGCUAGCUACAGGCUUAACACAUGCAAGUCGAGGGACCGGCGCACGGGUGAGUAACACGUAUCCAACCUGCCCUUUACUCGGGGAUAGCCUUUCGAAGGAAAGAUUAAUACCCGAUAUAAAGGAUGGGGAUGCGUGCCAUUAGUGUGUUGGUGAGGUAACGGCUCACCAAGCCUUCGAUGGAUAGGGGUUCUGAGAGGAAGGUCCCCGAGAUUGGAACUGAGGCCCUGUCCAAAAGCCUAGGGGAGGCAACAGUGAUGAAUAAUGGUCAAUGGGCGCUAGCCUGACCCAGCCAAGUAGCGUGAAGGAUGAAGGCUUAUGAGUCGUAAACUUCUUUUAUAUAAGAAUAUGUAUUAUAUGAAUAAGGAUCGACUAACUCCGUGCCAGCGGCCGCGGUAAUAC